ACAGUAGAUAUCCAAAGUAGACCGCCUACAGUAGGAGUUCAGAGUAGACUGCUUGCUAUAGAAGUUCGGCUUUCGCAGGAGCUCGGGUGGAAUCCGGAAGGCGGUCGACCGUCGUAAAAACUUGGAUGGAGUCUGGUUACUGUAGAAAUCUCAUUGUCGGAGAAGCUCAGAUAUUGAUGAAGUUUGAAAGAAGUUUGGAGUAGGGUCAUCUGUGG
rnacentral:lncRNA from 1 species